AUCCUUAUAUGCAUCGAUAAGUCUGUUUUGGACUUUGUAUCAUCCACAUAGUUCGUACGAACGAAAUCAAAAGAUAAUACCUAAGCUACACACUACAAUUGCUGGUCAAGUUGGUUUAAGUGUAUCUAAUCCAGUGCUACGAAUAUAGAUUCAAUUCAUGGACCAGUUGUAAGUGAUGGAUGGGAUAUACAUAGCUAGGCCGCUGACUUCCACUUCAUCAUGAACUGCCAGUUCCCUUGUGGGCAUUCAAGGAUACAGCAUUCCCAAAUCGAUGGUUCCCAAAAUCGUCAAAAGGUCGUGUUCUGUUCCAAGGAGUCCAGGAGUCUGAAAGGUAGGUUGUAGCUUCUAUUGUAUAAUUUUCGGAGAUCCCAUGUUUCUA